rnacentral:misc_RNA from 1 species
GUAGGAUAGGGCGGUGUAGGAGGAAGGGUAAUUUUGGGAUUUUGGGAAAAGUUUGGUGGGGUUAAAGAGAAUUUUAACCGUUGGAUUGAGGUGGAUGAUGGAUUUACCAAAGUGUGGGUUCAUAGAGGUGACGUGGAAGAUGGUGAUUGGUGGAUGGGAUUUUGAUAAUUAGAUUUUUGGAAGGAAGUGAUUGGAUUAUGGGAGAGAUUCUUUGUGUUGCUUUCAUAGAUUUUAUUUUUGUUAUUUGGAUGAUUUAUAUGCACUUUUGUGACCUACUUCA